rnacentral:rRNA from 1 species
GACGAACGCUGGCGGCGUGCUUAACACAUGCCAGUCGAACGGUGAAGCUCCAGCUUGCUGGAGUGGAUCAGUGGCGAACGGGUGAGUAACACGUGAGCAACCUGCCCCUGACUCUGGAAUAAGCGCUGGAAACGGCGUCUAAUACUGGAUACGAGAAGGGUCCGCAUGGGCACUUUCUGGAAAGUUGUUCGGUUGGGGAUGGGCUCGCGGCCUACCAGCUUGUUUGUGAGGUAAGGGCUCACCAAGGCUACGACGGGUAGCCGGCCUGAGAGGCCGACCGGCCACCAUGCGACUAAGACACGGCACAGACUCCUACGGGAGGCAGCAGUGGGGAAUAUUGCACAAUGGGCGAAAGCCUGAUGCAGCGACGCCGCGUGAGGGAUGACGGGCUUCGGGUUGUAAACCUCUUUCAGCAGGGAAGAAGCGAAAGUGACGGUACCUGCAGAAGAAGCACCGGCUAACUACGUG